GCAGGGCACUUUGACACGGGAGGUGUGCGUAGGAGCAGACCUGCGCAAGCUCGGGGAGUGUGGAAACAUUUCAGGAAGGUGGUGCAAGCUGCAUAUCACUCCUGGCAAACUUUCUCUAAGAAAACACUGCAUCUUGGCUGAUAUAGGUGGGCCUACAGAGAGAAAAGUGUGGAAUUUCUGGCAGAACCAGUGUGCUACUGGCCCCGAGAAGGUGGAUGGAAAGACAGCCCCCAUGAACACAGAGGCUCAGAUCCUCAACUGUUGACUCAUGGCUUGAGCUGCUCUUUUCUGCUUGCCUGGGGGAAGUUCUCUCCCCUGGCAUUUUGAAUUGAAGAUUGCUGGGGAAGACAAGAAAAUCUGCCCCUGCUCUAGCCCUCCUAGAUUUUUUAAUCUCCUGCACUAAACGGAGGAUCAACAAGUGUAUCAUCUCCCUUCCAGAGAGAUGUGGGAGCUCCUGUGUGUGGGCAGGUGCUGGGUGCUGCAGCCCUGUGCCUCUGCCAGUCACAUAACCACAUGCAGAGGACUGGACAUGUGGAGGAGAGGAGCCACUGUCUUCCAUGGAAACAGAAC